GACGUAGGGCGCGAGCGUUGUCCGGAUUUAUUGGGCGUAAAGAGCUCGUAGGCGGCUUGUCGCGUCGUCCGUGAAAACUUGGGGCUCAACCCCAAGCUUGCGGUCGAUACGGGCAGGCUCGAGUUCGGUAGGGGAGACUGGAAUUCCUGGUGUAGCGGUGAAAUGCGCAGAUAUCAGGAGGAACACCGGUGGCGAAGGCGGGUCUCUGGGCCGUAACUGACGCUGAGGAGCGAAAGCAUGGGGAGCGAACAGG
rnacentral:rRNA from 1 species